UACGGGGGGAGCAAGCGUUGUUCGGAUUUACUGGGCGUAAAGGGCGCGUAGGCGGCCAGCACAAGUCAGUUGUGAAAUCUCCGGGCUUAACCCGGAAAGGUCAAUCGAUACUGCGGGGCUAGAGUGCAGAAGGGGCAACUGGAAUUCUCGGUGUAGCGGUGAAAUGCGUAGAUAUCGAGAGGAACACCUGCGGCGAAGGCGGCUUUCUGGUCUGUAACUGACGCUGAGGCGCGAAAGCGUGGGGAGCAAACAGG
rnacentral:rRNA from 1 species